UACUUAAAAGCUAGCUACACAUAA
rnacentral:rRNA from 1 species